AGCCCAGGGAGGAAAGACAGCCUCUCUGGAGGGCUGAGAGAACUGCUAGCAUCCUGGAUAGAGCAGUGCUGCUAGCAGGAACUGGGGGAGUGAGAGACAUGUCCUGGCUGGCUGCUGGGCUUUGCAGGCUGAGUCCCUGAAGCAAGGGCAAAGAGGAUACCAGAGUGUAAAGAAGAUUCCAGCUCUCUCAUCCAGAGUUUGCAGGGAAAGUGAGCUUCUGAGCCAAAAAAGAACUCUUAGAGUCUUCUCUCACAAUAUUUAUUACCCAGAUAACAUGUUUGAGUUCCUCGGAGAAGACACACAGAGACCUAACAUCCUUCCUAGAAUAACUGUGGUAUGAAAAUGGAAUCUCAUCUAGAAUGGGCCAAAGGAAAUGAAAUGCAAUAUGAAGCCUUGAGGGAGGAAAGGCUCAAAGGAAGCCUGUCCUACAGAAGACAUGGAGACCCUACUUUUACUGAAGAUACUGGAAGAGGAAGAUAAUUCAAAGUGCACAGAUGGUUGGCCUGAACAUUUUACUUUGCUCUUCCCUCCCCCCUUCUUUAAAUAAAGGUAUUUUGAAGGCUCCAAAUAUUUCAGCUUGGAAGAAACGUGCCUGAAUUUGUAGCAGUACAAAAUGUACCCAAGCAACCUUCACAUUUAUUGAAGGCUUAUGUGACGCUAUUUCUCAGUAUAU